CCCUAGGAGGCCCCCUAAAUCCUUCCCACUCUCACUCACUUAGCCCUCUCACUCAAAGCCCUAGCCGUUGCAACUCACACGAUUUCCCUCCACACUCUAGCCCCACCAUCACGGACUGGCAACCUCUUCGUUGCAUAACCCACCAUUACAACCUCUUCCCUUUCCACAAUCCUUUGUAUUUCACAAUCCCUAAGAUUAACCCUACAAAAGAAAUGAUUACGGGAGACUCUACCACGGAUGAUACUAACGAGUCAACACAAGGGCAAGGCAUUCCUCCAAUCAGCCUUAGGUGUUUGAUUAUUCAUUUGUACACAGAAUUGGCUUCAUUAUUCUUCUACUCCAAUCAGUCUUAAGACUUUAAUGGAUGAGGUGGAGGAUUUACAGUGUAGUGUUUUGAUUUACGGUGUAGUGUUUGUGUUAUUUACAAGCAUUAUUUACUCAAUUCAGUUUGACAAGUGUUAUUUACAGCUGUUAUUUUUUACAUGUAAUCUAUCAUCUUGACAAGAGUUAUUAACUUAUUUACACAGUUCAGUUUGACAAGUGUUA